UAGAAUCCUAAGUCCUUGGAACCAGUGUAGAAGGGCAGCCUUACUUCCAUGUAGUUAGAAGGACACAUAUCCCUCUGUUAAAUGUAGAGACUCUCAACUGAACUAGAACUAUCCUUGCAUCACUAACCUAAAUUUCUGUUUGAGGCAAUGAAGUAUGAAUUAUUGUUGUUACAAGCAAAGCACUAUUUACAUAUCCAAAUGGAUAUUUUUCUUUUCAAAGCAGUCCCCCUUUGGGGCGGGGGGGUCUACAUAUUUCUUUUAAUUGGGCUGGUAUGGCUCAAAAGCGACAUAGAAAUCCUCUUUCAGAAUUGCAUCUUCUUCUUUGAACGUAGUUUCAAGUUUUAGAAGCAGCCAGAAUCUUUUGAGGCCAAAUCUGAUAACUAUGUGGCUCCAGAAGAGGACAACAUCAGCUAAUCUUCAGUAGUGGGUUUCUGGGCGAUAUCUGGUUGAUUCAGAAUACAAGCAUCUGGAAAGAAGAUGUAGGACAGUGACCACAGCAAGCAGUAAAAAGCAGUUAGGGAGAACGGGGACAAAAGCAGCAUGAAGAUACCUAGAAGAAGAAAAAAGGGUAGGUCUUAUAGACUGGAUGUGUGAAGAGAAGAAAGUGUAUUCUGCUGUUCCUGGAUAAAAAAUUCUAUAAACAUCAGUUAGAUCCAGUUGAUUGAUGGUGCUAUUUGGAUCGACUAUCUCCUCACUGAUUUUCUGCCAACUGGAUCUGCCAAUUUCUGAUAGAGGGGUGAUGAAAUAUCCAACUGUGAUAGUGGACUUGUCAAGUUCUCCUUGUGGUUCUAUCCAUUUUCGUCUUACAUAUUUUGACACUCUAACUGACGUCCAACAGCACUUUCAGACCCUGUAUUUGAGGAGUCCACCUCAAAUGCACCUGCUGCAGUCCAGCACAUGCUCCUCGACCCCCCUGAAAGCAGCCCCUGCAGUCUCAGGCCUACGCUGCCAUUUCUAAGUCUACAUCUCAAUCGCAGUGCUUGGACGGCCAAGCAGAAGCAGAGAGCCUGACCCCAGACUUCAGGUGUCACCAAACAGCCUCAGCAGUACUUCCUUUGGAUCCAUACCUAUGUGUCUAAUAGGAACCAGGCCUACCAUUGUGGCCAUAAAAACUUCUAAUCGUGGAAGAUUAGACUCAACUGAGAAGAUAGAGAUUUUCUCCUGCAGGUAUGCUCUACUUUAUAAGACCCCACAAAUCCAGAUGUAGAGAAUCAUAAACUUUUCAAACUGGAAGGAAACUCAAAACACCAGCAGGUAAAAUCAUCUUAUUUUUAUGGGUAAGAAACGGAUCCAGAGAUAUCACGGGCUGAUGGUCAUAGAGAAUCAAACUGUUAGGAUAUCUGCAUUAUAAAGGAUUUCUCUUUCAAGAACUGAUUUGCCAAGGCCUUGAAACAUGAUUCAAUUUAUAGAAAUAUAAUUUGCUUACAAAAUAUAAUUUGCUUUGCUUUUUAGGGGCCCAUAUACAUGUCUCAGAUUUUCCACAAGAUUGCUAAUUGUAAAUAUUCCCCAGCUUACAUGUUCUCAUUGAAGAAUCAAAAAUUUGGAAUGAAAAAAAAAUUGGAACGGUAGGGCACGCCUGGGUGGCUCAGUCUUUGGCUCAGGUCACAAUCCCGGGGUCCUGGGAUCAAGCCCCACAUCAGGCUCCCUGCUCAGCAGGGAA